rnacentral:rRNA from 1 species
GGCGGUCCGCUGCCCGCGACGUCGCGAGAAGUCCACUGAACCUUAUCAUUUAGAGGAAGGAGAAGUCGUAACAAGGUUUCCGUAGGUGAACCUGCGGAAGGAUCAUUGUCGAAUCCUGCAUGGCAGCAUAACCCGUGAAUCUGUAAUCAAAAUGUGUCGAGUUUGAGCGGUGCCGCAAGGUCCCAUCCCUCUCGAUCGGCCCCAGCGGCCAUGAUAACAAACCCCGGCGCAAAUUGCGCCAAGGAACUUUGAUCAGCUAUACGUCUGCCCUGGGCACCUAGAAAUGGAGCGCUUAGGGUCGGGUGUCAUAUGUAAUCCAAAACGACUCUCGGCAACGGAUAUCUUGGCUCUCGCAUCGAUGAAGAACGUAGCGAAAUGCGAUACUUGGUGUGAAUUGCAGAAUCCCGUGAACCAUCGAGUCUUUGAACGCAAGUUGCGCCCUAAGCCUUUGGGCCGAGGGCACGUCUGCCUGGGUGUCACGUAUCGUAGCCCCUCCACCCUUGUUGGUGUUUGGCUGAAAUGGCUCUCCCGUCCUCUUUGUGGUGCGGUUGGCCCAAAUGGAGGAACCCCGAUGUGGUGUAUGCCAUGGUGAGCGGUGGUGUGUUUUACCUUGCCCUCGUUAACACACCGUGUGCAUCAUCUCAUUAUAGUGGGUGACUUGUGAACCCCAAUGCCGUCUAGCAAGACGUCGCACAUCGCGACCCCAGGUCAGGCGGGAAUAGUUUAAGCAUAUCAAUAAG